UGUUUGAAACAAAAACAAAUCAAUAAAUACCCAUGGAAUAGACUUGUCUUGUGUCACAGUAUACCACGUGUUAGCAUCCCGUUUACCCAUGCUACUUGUUAAUCGUGAUUUUCUUUGCAUUCAUUAGUAUUGACUUCACAUUGCAGCAGACAGCAGUCUUUCGGAGCAUACGACAGUGACCUGCUCUGAAGCAGACGACAUCAUCACACCACACGAAGAAAUCAUUUGACCGCAUUGACCAAUCCCUACUGGACAUUAACCAGAGCUUGUCCACAGCAAUACAAUUAUUACUGCAGUAAUUAACCUUAUUUCACAGGACACCUGCAAAGUUACCUAAGCAUGAGCGUGACCUCUGGUAAACUUGGAGUGAGAUCCUUUAACGUGGGCAGGAUGAGAUGAAUAAAAAUGAUGUACUAUAGCUGCUGAAUCGGACCUUUGUCUUCAUUUGUGACGAGAGGAAGGAAUUCACAUUAAACAGUAUAUCUUGUUCGACGAAGUUUGAAAAAAUUAGAAAAUAA